GACGAACGCUGGCGGCGUGCCUAAUACAUGCAAGUCGAACGCAGUGGGGACGGGUGAGUAACACGUGGGUAACCUCCCAUCAGAGGGGAUAACACUUGGAAACAGGUGCUAAACCGAUACUGAUGGAUGGACCCGCGGUGAAUUAGCUAGUUGGUGAGGUAACGGCUCACCAAGGCCACGAGGCAGAGCCGACCUGGGAGGGUGAUCGGCCACACUGGGACUGAGACACGGCCCAGACUCCUACGGGAGGCAGCAGUAGGGAAUCUGCGGCAAUGGGCGAAAGUCUGACCGAGCAACGCCGCGUGAAUGAAGAAGGUUUUCGGAUCGUAAAGCACUGUUAUCAGAGAAGCGGUAUCUGACGAGAAAGCCACGGCUAACUACGUGCCAGCAGCCGCGGUAAUUC
rnacentral:rRNA from 1 species